CGGAGAGUUUGAUCCUGGCUCAGGACGAACGCUGGCGGCGUGCCUAAUACAUGCAAGUCGAGCGGACAGAAGGGAGCUUGCUCCCGGAUGUUAGCGGCGGACGGGUGAGUAACACGUGGGUAACCUGCCUGUAAGACUGGGAUAACUCCGGGAAACCGGAGCUAAUACCGGAUAGUUCCUUGAACCGCAUGGUUCAAGGAUGAAAGACGGUUUCGGCUGUCACUUACAGAUGGACCCGCGGCGCAUUAGCUAGUUGGUGAGGUAACGGCUCACCAAGGCGACGAUGCGUAGCCGACCUGAGAGGGUGAUCGGCCACACUGGGACUGAGACACGGCCCAGACUCCUACGGGAGGCAGCAGUAGGGAAUCUUCCGCAAUGGACGAAAGUCUGACGGAGCAACGCCGCGUGAGUGAUGAAGGUUUUCGGAUCGUAAAGCUCUGUUGUUAGGGAAGAACAAGUGCAAGAGUAACUGCUUGCACCUUGACGGUACCUAACCAGAAAGCCACGGCUAACUACGUGCCAGCAGCCGCGGUAAUACGUAGGUGGCAAGCGUUGUCCGGAAUUAUUGGGCGUAAAGGGCUCGCAGGCGGUUUCUUAAGUCUGAUGUGAAAGCCCCCGGCUCAACCGGGGAGGGUCAUUGGAAACUGGGAAACUUGAGUGCAGAAGAGGAGAGUGGAAUUCCACGUGUAGCGGUGAAAUGCGUAGAGAUGUGGAGGAACACCAGUGGCGAAGGCGACUCUCUGGUCUGUAACUGACGCUGAGGAGCGAAAGCGUGGGGAGCGAACAGGAUUAGAUACCCUGGUAGUCCACGCCGUAAACGAUGAGUGCUAAGUGUUAGGGGGUUUCCGCCCCUUAGUGCUGCAGCUAACGCAUUAAGCACUCCGCCUGGGGAGUACGGUCGCAAGACUGAAACUCAAAGGAAUUGACGGGGGCCCGCACAAGCGGUGGAGCAUGUGGUUUAAUUCGAAGCAACGCGAAGAACCUUACCAGGUCUUGACAUCCUCUGACAACCCUAGAGAUAGGGCUUUCCCUUCGGGGACAGAGUGACAGGUGGUGCAUGGUUGUCGUCAGCUCGUGUCGUGAGAUGUUGGGUUAAGUCCCGA
rnacentral:rRNA from 1 species